UACUCUGCAUAUGUUCAGAACUAUGAGC
rnacentral:piRNA from 1 species